UGUGUGUGUGUGUGUGUGGUAGCUGUUGUAGACUGAGGAUGAGGGGUGUGUGUGUGUGUGUGUGUGGUACCUGUUGUAGACUGAGGAUGAGGGGUGUGUGUGUGUGUGUGGUACCUGUUGUAGACUGAGGAUGAGGGGUGUGUGUGUGUGUGUGGUACCUGUUGUAGACUGAGGAUGAGGGGUGUGUGUGUGUGUGUGGUACCUGUUGUAGACUGAGGAUGAGGGGUGUGUGUGUGUGUGUGGUACCUGUUGUAGACUGAGGAUGAGGGGUGUGUGUGUGUGUGUGGUACCUGUUGUAGACUGAGGAUGAGGGGUGUGUGUGUGUGUGUGGUACCUGUUGU